UAGGGAAUCUUCCGCAAUGGGCGAAAGCCUGACGGAGCAACGCCGCGUGAGUGAAGAAGGAUUUCGGUUCGUAAAGCUCUGUUGUUAGGGAAGAAUGAUUGUGUAGUAACUAUACACAGUAGAGACGGUACCUAACCAGAAACCAAAAGCCCCGGGUUAAUUUGGGCCCCCCCCCGCGGGGUAAUAAUANGUAGGUGGCAAGCGUUGUCCGGAAUUAUUGGGCGUAAAGCGCGCGCAGGUGGUUUAAUAAGUCUGAUGUGAAAGCCCACGGCUCAACCGUGGAGGGUCAUUGGAAACUGUUAAACUUGAGUGCAGGAGAGAAAAGUGGAAUUCCUAGUGUAGCGGUGAAAUGCGUAGAGAUUAUUAGGAGGAACACCAGUGGCGAAGGCGGCUUUUUGGCCUGUAACUGACACUGAGGCGCGAAAGCGUGGGGAGCAAACAGGAUUAGAUACCCUGGUAGUCCACGCCGUAAACGAUGAGUGCUAAGUGUUGGUCUCAUAAGAGAUCAGUGCUGCAGCUAACGCAUUAAGCACUCCGCCUGGGGAGUACGACCGCAAGGUUG
rnacentral:rRNA from 1 species